rnacentral:rRNA from 1 species
AUGGCGACCGGCGUACGGGUGAGUAACGCGUAUCCAACCUGCCCUUUACUAUGGGACAGCCCGUCGAAAGGCGGAUUAAUACCGUAUGUUGUCAUGUUGAUGCAUAUUUUCAUGACCAAAGGCUUCGGCCGGUAAAGGAUGGGGAUGCGUCUGAUUAGCUUGCCGGCGGGGUAACGGCCCACCGGGGCGACGAUCAGUAGGGGUUCUGAGAGGAAGGUCCCCCACAUUGGAACUGAGACACGGCCCAAACUCCUACGGAAGGCAGCAG